rnacentral:rRNA from 1 species
GACGAACGCUGGCGGCGUGCUUAACACAUGCAAGUCGAACGGAAAGGCCCUGCUUGCAGGGUGCUCGAGUGGCGAACGGGUGAGUAACACGUGGGUGAUCUGCCCCUUACUUUGGGAUAAGCCUGGGAAACUGGGUCUAAUACUGGAUAGGACCAUGCUGUAGGUGGUGUGGUGGAAAGAUUAGUUUCGGUAAGGGAUGAGCUCGCGGCCUAUCAGCUUGUUGGUGGGGUAAUGGCCUACCAAGGCGUCGACGGGUAGCCGGCCUGAGAGGGUGGACGGCCACAUUGGGACUGAGCUGCGGCCCAGACUCCUACGGGAGGCAGCAGUGGGGAAUAUUGCACAAUGGGCGCAAGCCUGAUGCAGCGACGCCGCGUGGGGGAUGACGGCCUUCUGGUUGUAAACUCCUUUCAGCCAUGACGAAGCCCUUGUGGUGACGGUAGUGGUAGAAGAAGCACCGGCUAACUACGUG